GUUAAAAUGAAGCGAGUAGGUAGUUUUCUGGUGUGAACUCGAUUUCGAUCAAAUAGAACAUGGUAUGUGCAAAAUUUCUCCGUUUGCGGCCCCACCUACGUGUCUGGUGUUGCUUAAGCUUAACAUUCAACUAUUGCAUAGCAUUUGGCUGUCAGUUUGCAUUUGUCUUUUUUUUUCUAUCUUGUUAAGUUGGUUCAUUAUGGAUUUCAGCAAGAUAAUCGUUCCUGAGCUUAAGACAGAAUUAAAAAAUAUCUGGAAUAAAAACAGAGUUAACUGAAAGACUUUCUGCAUGACAAAAACACGAUCUUGUCCGCAGUCUAGUUGUGUCAAAACAUUUAGAGAGAGUCUCAUUCCUUUUGUUUCCAUCACCUGAUCAAUUUUCACCAAUAAAUGUAAUAUCAAGAAAACAUUUGAAUAAUUUCAACCUUUC
rnacentral:lncRNA from 1 species